GUAUGUCGUCGUCAUGACAGUCGUCACGGGGUGUAAUUAUCUGCUCAUAAUGUUUGCUCGUUACUCGAGGAGGGAAGACCCACGGCAUCUAAUCACUCCGUCAAAAAGGCCAAAAACCCAAAAGUUUUGACAGGCUGGAGGCCAUAUUUCGUGCCAUCCUAGCACCAAACAAGACGGUGGUAGCCCAAGGUGGUCAUUUGUUGACCAUGCUGCAUCACUCUCGAGAGUCGUCGUUGGUUGGUUGGGUAGCUGCCCCUAUGAUAGAGUCGGAGUCUGCUGCUGACGAGGUAGUUAAAUUAAUCGGGCGCAAGUUUUUGCACCUUGCAAUCAUCUUCAAUCUGCGUCGUCGUCGUUUUCUUCUCACAAGCCAGAGGGGAUGAGACGGAGAUGAGCACAUCAUCUUUUGCUGCUGCCUUGUGAGCACAGAUUUGGGUAAGGUAUGUGCCACUUUGAAAUCAGUUUGUUGUCCAUUGUACUUGGUAAGAAGUAUCCAGUCAAAAUAUAAAGUAAUGUAAUAUCCUAUAAGCUAUCGGGUUUGUAUAGGACCUUUUCAAAUAAAACGCUGGAAACGAUUUUAAAACA